rnacentral:rRNA from 1 species
UACGUAGGGGGCAAGCGUUGUUCGGAAUUACUGGGCGUAAAGGGCGCGUAGGCGGCCCGCUAAGUCGAACGUGAAAUCCCCCAGGCUCAACCUGGGAACUGCGUCCGAUACUGGCAGGCUUGAAUCCGGGAGAGGGAUGUGGAAUUCCAGGUGUAGCGGUGAAAUGCGCAGAUAUCAGGAGGAACACCAAUUGCGAAAGGCAGCUCGCUGGGAACGUAAACUGACGCUUGGAGAACGCGAAAAGCGUGGGGGAGCAAACAGG